GUGAAUUUUUCCUCUGCAUUUUUCCCAUCCCGGACUGUUCUUCCUCCAGGACCCCAGGAGCAGUGGGCAGCCUUUAGGCGCCCGGGGAGUACUUUGACUACAUAGGGGCUUUGAUGUGUUCACUGCCCUGAACGUGAUGGAGAACAGGAGUGUCCUGGAGAAGCUGAAGUUCAGUCCUGCAGAUGGACAUAAGCAUUACUACCUCUACAACUGGAGGUGCCCUACCCUGGCUGCAGACAAGGGUGGGCUUAGUGCUGAAGUGAUGGAGUGUGUGUGUGUGUCGGAGGUUUCAUGAAUUUAUGGAUUGGAUCCCCCGCAUUAUUUAUCAUGCAUUUGUUCAUUGGGACACA